GAUUAACGCUGGCGGCGUGCAUAACACAUGCAAGUCGAGCGAUGAAACUUAGUAGACUUCUUCGGAAAGACACUAAGCGGAUUAGUGGCGAACGGGUGAGUAACGCGUGAGUAACCUGCCUUACACAAGGGGAUAGCCUUUGGAAACGAAGAAUAAUACCCUAUAAAACCAUAAAAGCACAUGCUAGAAUGGUCAAAGUGAUAGCGGUGUAAGAUGGACUUGCGUCUGAUUAGCUAGUUGGUGAGAUAAAAGCUCACCAAGGCAACGAUCAGUAGCCGGCUUGAGAGAGUGUACGGCCACAUUGGGACUGAGACACGGCCCAGACUCCUACGGGAGGCAGCAGUGGGGAAUUUUGCACAAUGGGGGAAACCCUGAUGCAGCGACGCCGCGUGAUUUAGAAGGCCUUCGGGUUGUAAAAAUCUUUUGUAUAGGAAGAAAAUGACAGUACUAUACGAAUAAGGUCCGGCUAAUUACGUG
rnacentral:rRNA from 1 species